rnacentral:rRNA from 1 species
UACGGAGGGGGCUAGCGUUGUUCGGAAUUACUGGGCGUAAAGGGCGCGUAGGCGGCUAACUAAGUCGGAUGUGAAAUCCCCAGGCUUAACCUGGGAACUGCAUCCGAUACUGGAUGGCUUGAAUUCGGGAGAGGGAUGCAGAAUUCCAGGUGUAGCGGUGAAAUGCGUAGAUAUCUGGAGGAAUACCGGUGGCGAAGGCGGCAUCCUGGACCGAGAUUGACGCUGAUGAGCGAAAGCUAGGGGAGCAAACGGG